UUAUCGGAGAGUUUGAUCCUGGCUCAGGACGAACGCUGGCGGCGUGCCUAAUACAUGCAAGUCGAGCGGACAGAUGGGAGCUUGCU
rnacentral:rRNA from 4 species